AACGAACGCUGGCGGCGUGCUUAACACAUGCAAGUCGAGCGGGAAAGUUUCCUUCGGGAAGCGAGUACAGCGGCAGACGGGUGAGUACGACGUAGGUAACCUACCCUCGAGACUGGGAUAACCUGUCGAAAGACGGGCUAAUACCGGAUAAGACCACAAAGGGCUGCGGCCUUUGAGGUAAAAGAUGGCCUCUGCUUGCAAGCUAUCACUUGGGGAUGGGCCUGCGCGCCAUUAGCUAGUUGGUGAGGUAACGGCUCACCAAGGCAAAGAUGGCUAGCUGGUCUGAGAGGAUGGCCAGCCACACUGGGACUGAGACACGGCCCAGACUCCUACGGGAGGCAGCAGUGGGGAAUAUUGCGCAAUGGGCGAAAGCCUGACGCAGCGACG
rnacentral:rRNA from 1 species